rnacentral:rRNA from 1 species
GACGAACGCUGGCGGCGUGCUUAACACAUGCAAGUCGAACGAAGUGGCGAACGGGUGAGUAACGCGUAAUCAACCUGCCCUUCAGCGGGGGACAACAGUUGGAAACGACUGCUAAUACCGCAUACUGAAGGAGGGGCUUGCGUCUGAUUAGCUAGUUGGAGGGGUAACGGCCCACCAAGGCGAUGAUCAGUUGGCGGGUGGAGAGGAUGAACGGCCACAUUGGGACUGGGACACGGCCCAGACUCCUACGGGAGGCAGCAGGGGGGAAUCUUCCUCAAUGGACGAAAGUCUGACGGAGCAACGCCGCGUGAGUGAUGACGGCCUUCGGGUUGUAAAGCUCUGUUAAUCGGGACGCGGUACCGGAAUAGAAAGCCACGGCUAACUACGUGCCAGCAGCCGCGGUAAUUC